CAAAGAGUCAAACACGACUGACUGUGCACACAAGCGUGCACAACUGUGUCAUAAACCAUGUAACAAAGCAAGUAGAGAUUAUGUUAGAUGCUGUUAUUAAGGGAAAAAAUUAAAAUCCGAGUGGGAUGGUGGGUGCCUGGAUAGGCCUGAGGGGCUGCAAGUUUAAAGCCUUAUUGAGAAGGUGCAUCUCAAGAGAAGGAAAAGAGAGAGGCGCGCGGAUACAGGGAGAGCAGCAUUCCACGCAGGAAACUUUUCAGUACAAUCAUCCCAAGAAGUGAUCUAAUCAAUAUAAAGGUCUUUGGCAGCCCCCAAAGGAGAUAUUGCAACUAGAAUCCAACUGGGUAACUUGAAAGAGUAAGACAGAAAAGGAGGGAAAUCCAAUCCAAGGUGCAUUAUUAAGCGGCAAUUUAUCUCUCUAGAAGAAAAGACUUCCUGGUGUUGCUGCUAAGCUCGAGGGGACCAGCGUCCUUAAUGACAGGCCAGUCCAGCCCAGAUUCUAAAUGUUACUAGGCCGACCACCCUAGGGGGAGCGAUUCUCUUCGCCACAACCCCAGCCCGGGAGUGGAGCUGGCAACCGUCCAUCUUGCAGUGUUGACUCAUGCCUGAAUCACAGCCAGGCUGGCAGGAUGUUGUUUUGGGGAAGUUCACAGGCCUGUCAAAAACCUGCUGUUGCCAUUGGUUGAUAUUAUGCAAGAUUCCAAAUGAUAUUUAUUUAUAUUCUC